UAGGGAAUCUUCCGCAAUGGACGCAAGUCUGAUGGAGCAACGCCGCGUGAGUGAAGAAGGAUUUCGGUUCGUAAAACUCUGUUGUUAGAGAAGAACAGCGCAUAGAGUAACUGUUAUGCGUGUGACGGUAUCUAACCAGAAAGCCACGGCUAACUACGUGCCAGCAGCCGCGGUAAUACGUAGGUGGCAAGCGUUGUCCGGAUUUAUUGGGCGUAAAGCGAGCGCAGGCGGUCAAUUAAGUCUGAUGUGAAAGCCCCCGGCUCAACCGGGGAGGGUCAUUGGAAACUGGUUGACUUGAGUGCAGAAGAGGAGAGUGGAAUUCCAUGUGUAGCGGUGAAAUGCGUAGAUAUAUGGAGGAACACCAGUGGCGAAGGCGACUCUCUGGUCUGUAACUGACGCUGAGGCUCGAAAGCGUGGGUAGCAAACAGG
rnacentral:rRNA from 1 species